rnacentral:SRP_RNA from 1 species
UCGUGCAGCUGGGAAGUUAGCGGUGUCCUGUACCUGCAAUCCGCUAUAGCAGGAGUGAUACUCUGUAGAGGGCGUAUUUUCUGUAAGGCUGCCCAGUAUAAGUGGCGUUGACGUUUGGGUCUUACGCAAUGGAGCUUCGCGAACCGUGUCAGGUCAGGAAUGAAGCAGCACUAAGUGAAAUACUCCAUGUGACGUAAGGAAGCCUGGACUGAGUUAACUGUAUUGGUAACGCUUAUGGAGUACGUUCGAAGCAGAGUGCACGA